GAUAAACGCUGGCGGCGUGCCUAAUACAUGCAAGUCGAGCGGAAAGGCUCCUUCGGGAGUACUCGAGCGGCGGACGGCUGAGUAACACGUAGGAACGUACCCCAAAGUGAGGGAUAACUGCUCGAAAGAGUAGCUAAUACCGCAUGUGCUCUAAGGAGUAAAGCUUCGGCGCUUUGGGAACGGCCUGCGCCUGAUUAGCUUGUUGGUGAGGUAAAAGCUCACCAAGGCGACGAUCAGUAGCUGGUCUGAGAGGAUGAUCAGCCAGACUGGAACUGAGAACGGCCCAGACUCCUACGGGAGGCAGCAGUAGGGAAUUUUCCACAAUGGGCGAAAGCCUGAUGGAGCAACGCCGCGUGCAGGAUGAAUGCCUUCGGGUUGUAAACUGCUUUUAUAUGUGACGAAUAUGACGGUAGCAUAUGAAUAAGGAUCGGCUAACUCCGUGCCAGCAGCCGCAGUAA
rnacentral:rRNA from 1 species